CCUGACUGCUAUCGGAUUGAUACUAAGCCAUGUGAGUCAUUGCAGCAAUGCAAGGCAGACGGCUCAGUAACACGUAGUCAACCUACCCUAUAGACGGGGAUAACCUCGGGAAACUGAGGAUAAACCCCGAUAGAUCAUUAUGCCUGGAACGGUUUAUGGUCCAAAUGAUUCGUCGCUAUAGGAUGGGACUGCGGCCUAUCAGCUUGUUGGUGAGGUAAUGGCCCACCAAGGCUAUUACAGGUACGGGCUCUGAGAGGAGAGGCCCGGAGAUGGGUACUGAGACACGGACCCAGGUCCUAUGGGGCGCAGCAGGCGAGAAAACUUUGCAAUGUGCGCAAGCACGACAAGGUUAAUCCGAGUGAUUCCUGCUAAAGGAAUCUUUUGUUAGUUGUAAAACCACUUAUGAAUAAGGGGUGGGCAAGUUCUGGUGUCAGCCGCCGCGGUAAAACCAGCACCUCAAGUGGUCAGGAGGAUUAUUGGGCCUAAAGCAUCCGUAGCCUGCUUUGUAAGUUUUCGGUUAAAUCCAUCAGCUCAACUGAUGGGCCGCCGAAAAAACUGCAAAGCUAGGGAGUGGGAGAGGUAGACGGUACUCGAUAGGAAGGGGUAAAAUCCUUUGAUCUAUUGAUGACCCCCUGUGGCGAAGGCGGUCUACCAGAACACGUUCGACGGUGAGGGAUGAAAGCUGGGGGAGCAAACCGGAUUAGAUACCCGGGUAGUCCCAGCUGUAAACGAUGCAGACUCGGUGAUGCCCUGGCUUGUGGCCAGUGCAGUGCCGCAGGGAAGCCGUUAAGUUUGCCGCCUGGGAAGUACGUACGCAAGUAUGAAACUUAAAGGAAUUGGCGGGGGAGCACCACAAGGGGUGAAGCCUGCGGUUC
rnacentral:rRNA from 1 species